AGAGAGAGACAUGCGCGCAUAUCAAUAAGCGGAGGAAAAGAAACUAACAAGGAUUCCCCUAGUAACGGCGAGUGAAGCGGGAAGAGCUCAAAUUUGAAAUCUUAAAGGGUUUCCCUUUACGAAUUGUAGUUUAAAGAAGUGUUUUCUGUUGAGGUUUUGGUAAAAGUUCUUUGGAAUAGGACAUCAUAGAGGGUGAGAAUCCCGUAUUUGACCUUUACUUUCAACUUUGUGAUACACUUUCAAAGAGUCGGAUUGUUUGGGAACUGCAGUCCAAAAUGGGUGGUAAAUUUCAUCUAAAGCUAAAUAUAGGCGAGAGACCGAUAGCGAACAAGUACCGUGAGGGAAAGAUGAAAGGAACUUUGAAAAGAGAGUUAAACAGUACGUGAAAUUGUCAAAAGGGAAGCGUUUGACACCAGUGUUGUUUUUCUGAAAAUCAAUUAAAGAACUGUUUAUGCUAAGCUGUUUAGACUUUAUCAGCUAUCUGUUUAGUUUUGAGCUUUUCUUUAAUGCACUUUUCAGUUAACAAGUCAACAUCAAUUUCUUUUGCUGUAAAAAAGCUUGAGGAAGGUGGCUUGAGAUUCGUCUUAAGUGUUUAUAGCCUCUUGCCUAUGCAGUCGGAGAGAUUGAGGUCUGCAGCGUAGAUCCUCCGGGGCUAAAUGCAUUUGUGCUAAGUUAUAGCAUUUUAUAGACAACUUGUUGACUAUGAUUUGUCUUGUAGCUUACUCGCUUAUGUUAUUUUACCUACGCUUAGGAUGUUGACGCAUGAGAUAUACGC
rnacentral:rRNA from 1 species